UAUCAAUGAGGGUUAAUAUAGUCUUUUUGUAAUUAUGAGGGAGAUAAGUGAUAUUUUUAAAACCUCACGGAUGUUAAAUGAUAUUAGGCGAAGCUUCAAGGGAGGUUUCUGAUAUUAUAAGUUUAAUUAGUCGGUUGGUCGUGGAAUGAAAGCAGCACUUCAAAUUCUCUUUCACAAAAAAGUAAAUAUAUGAAAUCUCUGAAAGUGAAACAAGUUGAUGUGAUCCAAAACAAAAAGAAAAAGGACCACAAAAGAUUAAACUGCCUUAGAAUGGAAAGGAAAUGAAACUCGAGAAGAGGUAGAAAUGAAACUGAGAAAGGAAAUUCAAGAAUGAAAGGCGGAUCCAACUUUUGACAUUCUAAAUUAUGUAGCAAGCAUCUAAAUACUUGCGCUAAGUAUUGCACUAAUAAUUGACAAACAGCUGACGUUCUUGACUCACCUAAACCUUGAUACUAAUACCGUAUAAUUUGUGCUUGUAAUUAACAUAACCGACAUCCAAGAUUUGCAUCAAGAAAUCUAGCAGUUUAAUUUAUUGAUAUGCUGUAUAUAUGAGUUGAGUUCAACGAAUGUCUAAAUGGCUUUUCUUGUUUAUGCUACCACGCGAAGGCAUCCAUGCAACAAGUCCACAAAUAUCAUAUGAAAGUUUUGAAACGGCUGAUAGCUACACCAAGAAUUGGUUCCAGCUGCCAAGAGAGCCUCCAUUAGGAGCAAAUUAAUAUAUGAACCCUCCUGUUUCAGUCUCUUAAUCACUAUUAUUAUCUAAGCAUUUCUGAAUUGUGCUGACUGUCAAUAGACUAGGGGUUUUUUUUUUUUUUUUUUUUGGGGUGUGCAAGACCACAGUUGCGUUGCUCUCCUCACUUAAGCGAUGAGGUUUAAUAUGUUUCGCUAAUUUUCUCCAUUUUGAUGGGCAAAUUCAGUCUCUUUUGUCGACUUGGCACCACCUAGUUUUGAUAUGGAAGUCGUCAGUAGAAGUAGCAAAAUGGAUAAAUGGUUGAUAAAUGAUUUUUGUUUAAUGGAUAUAGGGUUUAAAUGGAUAAUGGAAAACCAUAAUCCAUCCAUUUAACCAUUUAAGCCGUUAGUAGAGUAGACUAAUACUGUAGUUUUUUUUUUUUUUUUCUGGGUGUGCAUACGGAUUCUCGUUGUCUAUAUUCCGUAGUCCAUAUUUUGUUGCCCUUGCAAGUUUUUUUGGUUCCUCGAUGAUGAUUCACAAUUAUAGUUCACUCCCACGCCUCUUUACUGCUUAUCAUAUUCUUAUUCAUUAAAUUAGGAAUUCAUCAAAAUUGAUUAUAAUGAUUGGUUAGAAUGUAAUCCAAUAAAUCUAAAACAAAUAUAAUGUGAUAAGAAAGUUCUUAUUCAUAAUGCUUGAAGAUUAUCUCAAGCUGCUACCCAAAAAUAAAAAUAAAAGAAAGAGCGAUUUUUUCCAUUUCCAUAAUGUGUAAAAAAUUGUCAAUAAAAAUUUCAUUCUAUAGUCAAGAUAGAAAUUGCAGCAAACUAUCUUACUAGAAAAUUUGAGUGAAAAUGAAAAAGAUUAAAAAGGAGGAAAAAGGGUAGUAACUGGUUAAGAUUCAAAUCUAAAGAAUUAGUUUUAAGUUUAAAUCUCUUUCUUUCUUCUGUUUCUUAAGUUUCACCUUUUUCCUACUGAAAAUUUUUUUUAAAAAAAGCAACUUGAGUUCAAACAUUUGAUAAUGAUGAAUUUAAUACUUGGAAUAGAUUUAGGCUGUAUUUGGAGUUGCGGUGCUUCUUGUAAAAUGCAUUUUUAGGUGCUAAAAGUAAAACGUUUGGUGAAUAUAUCAUCCCAUAAAAUUAGGAGUAAAAGUUUUGGUGUUAAAAACACUUUUAGCAAAAGGUUAAAUUUGGUACUUUUAUAGUAGCUUUUGUGAUUUUAAAAAUAAAACAUUAAAUUUAAUCAUUUUAUCCUAUAUUAUGAACUAAAUAAAGAGAUAAAUAUAUUUAAAAAUUUUUAAAUUACAUAUUAUCCAAUACAAUAAGUAUUUAUUGAACUAUAUCUCCAAAUAAUAUAUUUAAAAGCAUUUAAACACUUAAUAAGUAUUUUUAUUAAAAACUCUAUUGAAAAAUUACUUUUUAAUAAGUUAUUGUAACUCAAAACAGGCGCUUAGUAGAAGGCAAAGAACAUGUGAUUAUUAAGCAACUAAAGGGAAAAAAUCUACAAAAAAAGAAAAAAGAAAAAGAUGAAAAUAUACUGAAGUAGUUACAAGACAAUAACAAAAAAUGAUUCUUCUCAAAUUUAACUAACUCAUAGAGGCCAGUAAUCAAUAUUUGGACUACUUGUUUCUAGCUCCACUUCUUUCCUGUGAAUUAUACAAGCGCUCAGCGAUGAUGUUCUUUAGUUUUGUGGGCCCACAACGACGACGCUUUCUUUCUGGAAGCAAGAAGUUGUGAGUCCUGGGUCCGUCUUCCCAUUACAUUCUAUUUUGCUAAAUGGAUUUAAAUGGUUCAAGUGGAUAAUUCAUGUAAAUCCAUCAAUUUAAUUGGUUUUAUCCAUUUAAAAUCAUCAUCCUUUUUUUAUAUGGAUGGAUAAAUGGAUUUGAAUCCAUUUUUUGUCACCUCUAGUCGUCAGCAACUUCCAAUUGUGGUCAGGCCUUGAAUGACAUUUCACUGUUAGAUUCAGUUUUCACAAAUGCUUUUCCAUAUAUUUUCAUGCUAAUGUCAUGUGCCUCAAAAGAUGGACUUCAAGAUUUCGACAAUUGAUAUUCAUUCCAACUCCAGGCACUAAUAAUCUAGAUGUUAAAAUUACUCUUUUUUGUGCUUUAAAAAUUAAUAUGACAAAUCCUUCCAAAACAAAAAAAAAGCCUAAUGUGACAAAGUUAAAUCGGAUCAAUGACCAUCAGCCCAUUAGACUCCGCAAAAAUGACUUGUGUCCAGACACUUUGUGAAUUACGAUGAAACUUCCAUCUUUAUUUGUCCAAAGCGAGAAAAGAACCAAAAAAAAAAAAAAAGUCUUUUAAAUGGGGGCAAUAAUGUAGGUAGUGUGCUCGGAAAUAUUCCUGCUGUACGGACAUGGGCAACCCAUGAACUUGGCUUUGAUUACUUAUGGAAAAUGACAAAAAAUGGCAAAAGAAAUGUAGGGUAAUACUAGGGGUCCCGUAAUAUGUUAAUAAUAAUAUAGUAAUAUGGCAUCCAUCCAAUAUGAUUCAAGAAAAAGAGAGAGAGAGAGAGAGAAGAAAAAAAAAGGAGGAGGUGGAGAUUGCAAAAAAACAAUUAACAAAGAAGGUUUAGCGAAGUAAUUUCUGGUAGGUAAUGCAUGAAUUACUUCAUCUCAUCAAGUUGUAGAAUCUGCACAUUUUUACUGCUCUCAUUCUGCAUGGCGUAACAAGGCAAACGAAACAAGCAGACAAUUUACGAUUCUUGGCAUCCCAUUUUCCUAUGCCGUAGAAGCAAAAUGCAAUUAGUACAACAGCAGUGAAUCUGACCAAUGUUCUCAAAACGUCACCAUCUGCAAGAGAAGGGAUUUUCACAAGGCAAAAUUUCAUUUCAGACAAGGGAAACUCUCGAUCUCCUGGAUCCUUUACAUGCCACUUGUUUCGCCAGUUUUCCCCAAGUCUCGAUACAAAGUGAAGUAUUGCCGGAAAAAUCCUUUUCUGUCGCUAUAAAUCAUUAUGCUAUUAGAGAUGAGAGGUCGCUGCGCUGCAAUCGCUUUCUUGCCCAAUGGUUUUAGUAUUUGAAACGUCUUUCAAACGUAAAAGCGCGUCAAAUUUACACUUCUUCUACUCCUGUAAGCUAAUCAUGCAUGGGUUUACCAGUAUUUUGUUUUCUUUUGUGAGUGAGAAUAGUUCAUGAAAUCAUUUUCUUUUUAAAUUCUUUUCGUGGCUUCAGGAAAAGUAAAAAAGUCUGCGCCAACGUUUAUUUUAAUCAUUUCUUAACUUGACCGAUUGGCUGAUCAGAAGCUCUUGUGAAAAGACUAGCCGGCUUAGACAGUAAAAAUUCUUCUACAAACUUGUAAGACAAUCCGGUAGUAUAGAUUGAUGGAUUGUGUGCCGUGAAUCAACAAUUUAGGCACAAUUAAAGUUUGAAAUUUGACAUCAAUUAGCCAAACCCCAACCUUCAUGCACGCACUGCAUUUGUCUCUAGGAAUUUAAGCGAACACCGCGGGGGUCCGUGUGAAUCUGGAACUGUCCAUUUGGAAUUCGGAAGAUUCAGAGCUAUACCUCGAAGUCGUCGAAUAUCUUCCAAAUCUAAAUGUUGACUUAAUAUAUUUAGAGCAAGUCAGACUUUCUGUUUUACAUUUUACGAAAGCAGGAAUCUAAACCACAGAUGGUCUCAAAUUUGCCAAUUAUGAUGCAUACGAGACCUCCUGGUGGAGUGCAAAAUUGUCAAUUUUGGUGUACUAUUUUGCAGUUUUUUCUUCGCGUGUCCCGGUCGUUUUUUUGUAAUAAAAAAAAAUCAGGUAAGUUCGAUUUCAAUCACUGUUGCGAAUUAGUAUGCGUUUCUAGAAUCGUAAGUCUCUUACAUAGAUCUUUACAAGAGUUAAAAAAAUAUGCUUCCGAAACAAUAGAUUGUAAAAGAAUUCAAACAUACGAUCUUUUCCAAGAAAAUUAUCUAUUAUUACCAAUUCAACCAACUUGUAUUACGAUCCCGCCAUAUGUGAGACCAUGUAAGCAGAGUUCAAGAUGUUCCUGAUUCACUAUAGCCAGAUAAUAACGGGGAACUCAUAGAUAGGAUGCUUACCCUCACGCCCUCAUCCCUUGAAUGAUAUGUAGGUUGGAAACAAAAACUCGUUUACACGGGUGAAAAAAAGGGCCCUAAUAAGAGAGUACGUACCAUGUCUAGAUAAUGACUCGUAGAAAUUUGAGAGGUUGGGUUUCUGGCCUCGCACAACAGCACGAGAAUUUAAAGCCGAAGUAGCCAAUUUUGUGAAAACAAAUGUAGGCAUGGCAUAUAUAGACAAUGAAGAUAGAGUUCCCGUACAGUAGUGUGGUUGCUGCAGCCGGUAGUGGAUAUGGUGCUGCUGACGGCCAUAGACAGCGACCAUCAUGGCCAUGAUGACCAUGAUGAUGAUCUUAGUGCCGAACCAACCAUCUGGAUUUUGUUUGCUUGGUGGCUAGCAUUUCCUCCUCCUAAAAAUAUCAAGUUCGUCUAGCAGUACUAUUGCCCAUUCCAAUGCUACUUUUACCUUAGAUAACAGCUUCUUUUGCUACCUGCGCACUAAAACAAUUUCUUCCCACCUAUUAUAAGUUGGAACUCGAAUUUAACUAUACCGGUCUAAUGGUCUCAAGUCUCACCAUUAAGAAGAGAUUUCAGAGAUUUAAUACAUGGCACAUUCUUUACUUUACUCAAAAUUCAACAUAUACAUUUAAUCUUCACUUGAGUUUAAACAAAUUUAGGACCCAUUUGGAUUGCAAGUUUUUCGGAGUUUUUGUGUGUAUAAUGAUAUAAUAUAUGCGAAGUAGAAAAGCGAUUCAAAAAAUUUAUCAAGAUAAAUUUUUCUGUGAAAACUUACGAUCCAAACAACGCAUUUGUCAAUUAGGCUCUUUACCUGCACACAUGUUUUUACGACUUUUGAUAAAACUAUCCAAGUUUAGUUCGCCCACAACCCCUCCCCCCCUUCUUUCAUAAUUUUCGCUUCUUCGCAAAAGAUUUGCGGAAGAUUCUAUAUAAGAAUUUAAGACGUUGCACAGAGAGAGCGAUGAGAUGAGAUUAUGAACCACUUGGUUAUAAAACAUUUUCCACAAGAGUCACGCCUGAGAGAGACACAAGAGACCCCAAAGUCCAAAAGCUUGCAUGUCUUCCAUUAUUCAUGUCAAGAAUAUAGCAAGAAUCGGAUGAACUCGUUAGAAAACGAGAACCAGACAAUUGUACAGGAAGAGGAAUGACAUGUUUCCGUGUUGCCAUUACAUCUUCCAUUUUGGGCGGUACAAUAGCAAUUGGAGGAAGCUAAGUAGGACUCUCAUCACGCCUUGCCUCCUAAUGGUUCGGCUGAAGUGGACAGCAUAAAAUAGGUCAACAAAAGAUGGUGCCAGCAGCAGAGUUCAAAAGUCCACCUCUGUAACAGGGAAAACGCACUCGACCUAAGCUAGGAGAUAAAUAAUGACUGACCCUUUAAAUCAAAAGUGAGUGGAAGAAAGCCCGAGCAAAUUGAGUACAUAUCCUAUACCAAUUUUAUAUGGGCAUAAAAAAUUGUAGUUCUGAGAUUAAGUUAACAUGGCUAACCAUUUUCAAUAUUAACUAUGAAAUCACAAUAAGAGUAGUUAAAGAUAUGAGAUCUUUUCGUGGUUUUUUUCUAGAUUUGGACCAAGAUAAUGGUUCGUUGUGGUACUUCUAACACCAAUAUGUAUGUAUGCAUGUAUUCAGGGAUGAUCCAAUGUAGGGCAAUCAGCCGGAUUUGAUAAGAAGCUAAACUUUUUUAACAUAUUAUUUUAGUUAUCAUGCUUUUCAGAGUAAGACCUGCUUUUCCAAUUUUCUAAUGAAUAGUUAGUAUAGAAAUAUUCAAGUGUUUAUUUGAAUAAGGUGUGUUGUCAAGGUUUAGACUUGACACUUCUUCUUUCACAUGUUUGUGCAAUUUUCAAUUAUGCAAUGAGAGCUGCAAGUGAGGUCACAGAGGACUUGGGAUGUAGAUAUGCAGAAUGAUAGUGAUGAUCAGGAUGUCGAUUUGAUUCAAUGGAACCCGAUGUUGUCUAAUAACAAAAUAUGCGGUUAGUUUCUUAUAAAUGUAAAAUCACAUCAAUUUCUAAAAUUUGGCUUUUGGUUUAAUGCAGUUACUGCUUUUAGUUUUGUAUAAAAAGAUAUCAUAUCGUAUAUUACCUAGUACCCAAAGAUAAAGGAUCUAAAAUAGACAAUUUGGAUUUUCAUUCGCAAAUUUAACGUGCACAUGAUGAUGUUCAAGUAAACAUCGCCAUUAUCUCCUCCAAUUUUCAGCCAUUGCUAAAUUAUUAGUUAUAGAAUAAAUUUUAUGUACACUGAUAGUAUAUAUGUUAUCGUCGCUGUCCAAACAAGGGUCUAAUUGAUUUAUAAUGAUAAGCAAGGAAGGGCAAUAUAUAUAUAUAUUCUUGUUUCUUUUUGGAAUAUAACAAACGUAGUGCAAGCUCGUAGGCAAAGAUAAUAGUAAUAAUAUGAUGGUAAUUCCUCUACGAAUCAGUCCUAUUGGCAUUCCAAUUUUUCAUUUCUUUUUGAUGGAGAGAGAGCUAAACCUCGUAUCGAUGCUUAAAGGAGAAAAGAGCAGUCAUGAUUAAUCGUGCUUUGAGGAAUGGAAGUGCAACCUUUUCCCCAAACGUUAUCAUGAUAUAUGGUGUGAAGAAAAGGUGUGAAGUAUUAUAAUACAACAUGACUUGGGCGCAAUAAACCAAAGCAAGUCAGUACGGCACACCGUAAAUUAUGAGCACCUCCCCCCUUAUAAAAGAAGACAAAAGGGAAAACGAGGGCUGGGUGGGUCAGCAGAUAGAUCGUGGAGAAGGUGGCUUAAGAGGGUUCUCCACUUGCAAUAUUGAAUGAUGAUAGCUUUGAAUUCUCAAAUUGGAUGUAAUUAUGGAAGUGGAAAAUCUUCAGCUUCCCCAUUGCCAGAUUAAAAUAACAAGAAGGUUCUCUUGGUCGCACCAAUUCUUUAAUGUGUUUUAUCUACAAAAAUAUAUAUGCAUGUACAUGAAAUUGGAUGUUGUCUAAAUCGUGCUUCUUUUUUUUUUUUUGGGGUAAAAUACCAAAAAUCUCUGUGUGAUUUGUCAAAUGUACACUUUACCUUCCCAUAGUUUGGAAACCUACAAUUUAACUCCCUGUCGUUUCAACUAAAGUGAAAUCUGACAGAAAACAUCUACAAUAACGGUAUUUGAUUACCACGCACUUCUGCUGAGAGUUGUGGUGUGAUAAUAUUUUCACUUGCCAAAGAUACCCCCGUGUGUUUCCAAACCAUAAGGAGUUAAAUUGUACAUUUGGCAAACCACAUGGAGGUUUUUGGUAUUUUACCCAUUCUCAAAUGCACGAAACAUUCUUCCGAAGAAUUAACUUAUAGAGGGGCAAUUUUGACAUUUUUUGUUCAGAUGUUAGUUUAGAUGUUUUCCGUCAGAUUUCACUUUAGUUGAAACGACGGGGAGUUAAAUUGUAGGUUUUCAAAUCAUAGGGAGGUAAAGUGUACAUUUGGCAAACCACAUGGGGGAUUUUUGGUAUUUUAUCCUCUUUUUUUUUUUGCUAGUUUCAUCUUUAAUUUCAUCUCCUCCUUCACCACCCCUCCUUUCAAAAACCCCUUGCUUCAGAGGUGUAAAUUAGAAAACGAAAAUUUUUUAGAUAAAUAUUAUAACAUUUUUUUUAUAAUGUAAUAAAUGUAAAAUAAAAAAUUUAUAAGAAAUAUAAAAUCACCUUUGACUAAAACAAGAUUAGGUAAUGCCCGCACACCUCGAUCAAAACGACAAAGGCCAAAUAUAGAAAAAGCAGUGAAUUAGAAGGUUUGAAUUCAUGUAUAUGCGAAUAAAAUAGCUCACUUAAACGCAGCAAAUAUUUGAAUAAAUAUGAAACGUUUUAAUAGUCGGUUGGAGUAAUAAAGAUCCUCCUGUUAAACAUCAAUUGGACGUGGACAUUAUUACAAGCCUGAAACAUCCAAUAAAUGGCUAACUUGAAAGUCAAACCGUGACAUGGGUGCUAUCAAUUUACUACUGUUUCGGGACAAGUUUGGUGUAAGUGAAUAGCACGCACACAAGUUGUACUCUACCCCGAAAGAAACCAAAACUCGAAACUGUUUAAUUCACAUAUGCUAAUGCAUGAAACUGUAACUGCAAUCAAGAACUUGUUUAGGAUAUAGCUGACUUUAUGGGAAGGUUAAAAGUUAGGUACUGGGGUGAAAGGCACCGAACCAGUGGUCAAAUUGAGUUCUUGUCUACCAUUUUAGGUUGGUUCUUACAACAGUUUUUGCAGGAAAAAAGAAAGAAAAAUACUCCCUCCGUCCCACUUUGAUAGUCCUGUAUUCCUUUUUCAUCUGUCCCAAAUUAUAGUCCACUUUCCAAUUGAAGAAUGUAGUUGUAUUUUAAUUUUUCUAAAAUAUCCUUAUUCAAUGUAAGUAGUUGUUACUAUAAACCUAUCCCAUUUAAUGAGAGUUGAUUCUUUUUUUACCAUCAAUUCAAGUUUCCAUAAAAUUGUACCAUAUUUAAUGUGAGGGUAUUUUAGAAAAAUAGCAAUCUAAAUUUACUUUUCCAAUAAAGUUAACUACUUUUUCUUAAACUGUGUGAAAAAAGAAACAGGACUAUCAAAGUGGGACGGAGGGAGUAGUAAAUUUUUUAGAAUAGUGAGCCAUUAUCAUGAAAUUGGAUUUGAUGCAGGCAGAAUAGCGAAUGACUCUAGAGUCUAGACCGGGAGAGGGGACAUUUUAUUUGCAUGCCCUCGCGUUAGGUUAUUCACGGCAAAUGAUUUAGCAUUGCACGGUGCCACACGAUUGGAGCCCCAAAAUCCAUGGUAGAAAUUUCAUAGAGUGUGUUUGGAUUGUUAUUUUUCCGCCACGUACUCUCUGUUGAUGCAUUUUAUAAUUACUAUUUUAUUUCAUAUAUAUCAAAUUAUUAUAUUAAUUUUUUUAGAAAAAAAAAUUCAGAAAAAUACAAUCCAAACAAAACUUAUAUAAUUUCUGAAUUUAAUAGCACGUAUUUUGGUUUACAGUCCAUAUUGACAUAGCAGUAGUAUUCUGAAUGAAGUCAACAAAAAGACACGCACACAGCAGUAGUAGUAGAGAGCAGUAGUGUUAGUCAAUCCACCUAAAACACUAGUAAGGCUAUAAUAAAUGUAGUAUAUUAUUUAGUAGAGCUUCAACCACCCCACCUCACUGGAUUUAAUAUAGAACUAAUCCGAAUAAGUAAUACCACAACUGGUAAUUGAUUUUUUGGCCAAAAAAAAAAAAGAUCAUAUGCACGAAACGAUGGCAAACAAAAAUACGUAAAAGAGUUGAUUGAGGGAGAAGAAGGAAGUGAAGUGAAGGUGAAGAAAAAUUGAAUGUAUGAAAAGAAAAGAUCCCUUCCCCCGAAUCUCAAGUUGACAAAUAGGCCGAAAGCUCAAGCAAGGGGCUAAUUUGAGAUCUGCCACGUGUCAGCCAGCCAUCGUUUUUAUCAAACGCUCGUACUCUUGAUCCAACGGUGAUCAUGGCACGCUUUCCCAGGUCUAUUUAUUGGGGCCUUGCUCUUUGACUUUUUCAAUCCCAAUCGCAAUACACGACAAACCCCCACAACACCCCUCCUUCCUCAAACCUUCAGCCACCUUGCUCGGCCACUCUCACUCGCCUGUCUGGCACGUGUGAAUCUAACGUCCAUUCCAUUCCAUCAUCAAGGUUGAGUUUGAGCCUUUUGAGAUAGGAUUAGGGUAUACGCCAUUACUCUUCCCCAGUUCAAAGUUACGUUUCAUAAUUAGAUUUCUACGAGGGGAAUCUUCGCAUGGUAAUGGAAAAAGCGAGCGAUGACCAUGAAAUACGCUUAAAUCUCCAUUUGUCAUUACACGAGCCGCUCACGAAAUAGAUGUCUUGUUUUGUUAGUAUUUAAUUAAUGAAGUGAUAUAUAAAAGUAUUAUUAUAACCCAAUGUUGAAUUUGAAUAAGUUACUCUUUGUUAAGAAAUUAUAACAUAAGAUAAUUUUUUUAAAUAUAAUAUCGGUGUAUAAUUUUUUUAUACUAGCAUGUUUAAAUCAUGCCAUAUAAUAUAAAUUUAAAUUAUAUAUAUAUGCCAUACAUAAAAAACUGUUAGUAUUAAAGAAUCACUAUAAUAUCAAUGCAUAAAAUGUUAAUCAUAUAUUUAUACAAGAUCAAUCUUUCCUACUUGACAAUGUAUAUAUAUUGUCAGCAUUGGAUGAAUGAUAAUUAUAUUAAAUUUGAAUUAGAAAUUCAACUUUUACAUAUGUAUUAUGGAUCCAACGAUGAUAGUAUAUGCGUACGCUAUUAGUGUAAUAUUAAUAUAAAUUGACAAAAGAAUCUAGGCUCCACGAAAUGCAUUUUCUAUCACACGAGUACUUAAAAAUCAGCUAUGGACAUGUAAAAAAUUCAAAUGAUUUUCUAUCAUUCAGAAUAUUUUUUUUUAGUCUCUGUUUGUGGUCAGCUUGAGAUCGAUUUACUUGUCAACAUAAUUUAUUUUUUUUUUAAAAAAAACACCAAAUGUUAAAUGACCUGCAAUUUACGCGCUGAAACUGGGGAGUGAAGCUGUCUAGUCCUAGUGUCGUAACCAUUGAAAAAUCGGUAGAGUUUUUCCCUUGUUUGUCAUAUUUGUUCAAUCCGAUGACCUUAACCCCUCACAGUUACAUGCCAGACGUCUCUUACAGCCAUAACCCAUCAGUCAACGCCCCACACACAUCCAACAAUUAAAAGCAUUAAUACGAAAAGAGGAAAGGAAAUUGAAUACUCCUACUUCCAAAAACCAAUUACUUUAAUUUUUUUUUUUUUUAAAAAGUCUCCAAAAGUUUUAGUACACCUCUGUUUUUAUUACUACGUUCAAACACCUCUCUGCCCACCUAAAGUCAACGCCUCUCUCUUUCGCUCUCUCCCUCUCGCCCCCCCUCCCUGCUUGUCACCCCCACUUCUUCUUCUUUGCAGCUUCAUUUUCCAUUAUUUCUGUACCAGCUCAAUCAGCUAUGAAGUUUUGAUGAACGCCCGCAAAAACAUAUCUUUUCUAAUUCUAUAAUUUUUUAAAUUCUUUUCCUUUAAAAUUUGAAGAAAUGGGUAAUGGAAUCCGAAAAUUAAGCGUUUGCUUCACCUGCGCCGACGGCGGAGCUUAUGAAGCUCCGAGGAAGAGAGAUUUAGCUGCCGUGAUAUCUGACCCUUUAGAUGAUUUGGGUCAUUCUUUCUGCUAUGUUCGGCCCGAUCAGACCCGGUUAUCUUCUUCUAAGGUCCAUUCCGAGGAGACCACUACUUCAACCACGACGUUUAAGUCAAUCUCCGGUGCUUCCGUUAGUGCCAAUACCUCUACUCCGCUUUCGACCGCCUUCGUCGACGUCUAUACUUACAACAGCAUCGAUAGAGCCUCUGCCGCCGCCGCCUUCGAGAGCUCCACCUCCUUUGCUUCAAUCCCUCUUCAACCCAUCCCGCGAAAUUCAACUGGAUACUCCGGCCCGUUAUCGAGCUCUGGGCUUAUCCCGGGCUCUGGCCCGAUUGAAAGGGGAUUUUUGUCGGGCCCGAUAGAGAGGGGGUUCAUGUCGGGCCCUCUUGAUCGGGGGCUCUUUUCAGGUCCUCUUGAGAAGGGUUUCUCUGAUCAGUUCCAGAGAAGCUUCUCUCAUGGGGGUUUCGCGUUUCGGCCCAGAUCAAGAAAAGGCUCGCUGAUUCGGGCCCUGCAGAGAGCUUUGUCAAAGACAAUCAGUAGAGGUCAGAACUCAAUUGUUGCUCCAAUCAAGGGUGUUGUUUCAUUGAAAGAAAAUGAGUGGAUUGUGGAUUCUGAAAAGCAGAAUGAGUUGACCAUUAGUAGUGUUAAUUUGAGCAGUGAAGGUAGCUUAGAUGAUGAUGACUCAUCAGAAAGUCAGAAUCUUCAGUGGGCUCAGGGGAAAGCAGGGGAGGAUAGGGUUCAUGUGGUUGUUUCUGAGGAGCAUGGAUGGGUUUUUGUAGGGAUUUAUGACGGAUUUAAUGGCCCCGAUGCUCCGGAUUAUUUGUUAUCCAAUUUGUAUUCAGCUGUUCAUAAGGAGCUGAAGGGAUUGUUAUGGGAUGACAAGUUUGAUUCUUUAACUAAGAGUUCCUCUGCCUCGGUUGAGACCUUGAAUUCAGGAAUGGAGGAUUUGAAUCAGAUUAGUAAGGAGGAGGUUUCACGGGAUAGGACUAAAGAUGGUUGUUCUAGAGGAGUAGAGCAGGAGAGUUAUCCGUGUGGAAACGGAGAAGUGACAUUUGAUUCACAAAUCAGUAAAAAGACUAGAAAAAGUUCGAAGGGUAAGUAUAGAGGGGCUGCCAAGAGAUGGGAGGAGAACCAGAGGAAGUGGAGGUGUGAAUUUGAUAAAGAGAGAUUGGAGCUCGACAGGAGGUUAAAAGAGCAAUUGAAUAAGAAUAGGUUGAAUGGAUCGGGGACAAUUAAUCAUUCAGAUGUGCUGAAAGCUCUCUCUCAAGCGCUGAAGAAAACGGAGGAGGCGUUUCUGGAUCUUGCUGAUAAGAUGGUUAUGGAGAACCCUGAGUUGGCAUUGAUGGGCUCUUGCGUCCUUGUGAUGUUAAUGAAGGGAGACGACGUUUACGUAAUGAAUGUAGGUGAUAGUCGAGCAGUUUUAGCCCAGAAGAAAGAGCCUGAUCUAUGGAGCCAAGAUUUGGAGAGGAUCAAUGAAGAAACAUUGCAUGAUCUUGAGGUUGAUGGCGAUAUAUCAAAUACAGUACCAAGCUUAAGUGCUUUUCAACUCUCCAUGGAUCAUAGCACCUCGAUAGAAGAGGUAGAGGGUUCUAUCCUUCUCUUCAUGCUUUCGUUAUAUGCUUUAGUUGAUCAAGCUUUUAAUGACCAAAUUUAUUUCCAAUUAAGUUCCAAUUGAUGAAUGCUGAUCUUACUCCAUGAAAUUCAGGAAGUGCAAAGAAUUAGAAGUGAACACCUUGAUGAUGCUUGUUCUGUAAUGAAUGAUCGUGUAAAAGGUUCACUGAAGGUCACUCGAGCUUUUGGUGCUGGUUUCCUAAAGCAGGUACCGUGGAAUCUGGCCUUUCUGGUUCUCUGAAAGUCAAACUUCUGAAAGGGAUUUUUGUAGGAAGAUAUGAAAAGUCUUUUUAUUCCUUUUGAACUUGGGAAAAAGUAGAUUCCUCAAUUGGAUAUGGAAAAAUCUACCAUUUAGUUCAUAUCAAGAAGACUGAGAACAGAGAUUAUGCUUCCUAUAGGCCUUUUCUAGUAGAGAAUAAAACGAGUAAUUCUUUUUUGUUACUGAGGCAUAUUCUGGGAUAAGCUUAUUAUUUUCAAACCUAUGAAAAAGCUGAAACUGUGAACAAAAAGUUUGUGUUUGACAAUUGCUUCAACAGCUUAUCCGCCUUGUUUGAAACAACCUUUUGUAUCCCUUCUCUCCAAUAACCAAUCAAAUUGCUGUCUUUGACUCGAAUUGCAGCUAAACUUCCAACAGAAGAUCACUUUUGAGAGCAUCCCACAUCUAGUCCAUAAAAUAAUAUAAUGAUGAAUUUCCUUUACAUAUGAAUAGCAGGACAUAUGGACUAAUAUGCAAUUUAUGUGAGAGCCUCGAACAAGUUGGAAUUUGUUGCUGUAAUUACAUAGCAAUCUAUUGAGUGAGGCAUUUCAUCUUGGAAUUUUUUCAUAAGAAAAACUUUGGGUUCACGAUCAUAAAAUUCGUCCUGACAGAGGGGUUGUUGGCGGGGGAUGAGAGGGAUGGUCUGUCUACUUUUUUCUGCUGAUUACUUGAAUAUUUGAUUUAUUUUGAUCUAAACUGUUGCUUUACUUGAGAAACAAAUUCCUGAUUUCAUGGUUUUAAUAUGCAAUUUCUCUUUUCCUGCAGCCAAAAUGGAAUGAUGCACUCCUAGAGAUGUUUAGAAUCGAUUAUAUUGGAACUUCCCCAUAUAUUAAUUGCCUCCCAUCACUCUACCACCACACAUUAGGGCCAAGAGACAAAUUUUUGGUUCUAUCUUCAGACGGCCUGUAUCAGUAUUUCACAAAUGAAGAGGCUGUCUCAGAAGUUGAACUUUUCAUCGCUUGGUCUCCAGAAGGGGAUCCUGCACAGCAUCUGGUUGAGGAAUUGCUAUUUCGAGCUGCAAAGAAAGCUGGUAAAUCUUUUAAACAAGCGAUCAUUUAUUCUGCUGACCAAUACAAAGUAGCUUAGCAUGACGGGGGUAAUUUUUUUCUGUUCCAUUUCAGGGAUGGACUUUCAUGAACUGCUUGAAAUUCCACAAGGGGAUAGGCGCCGCUACCAUGAUGAUGUUUCAAUCAUUGUUAUUUCGCUGGAGGGGAGGAUAUGGAGAUCCUGUGUAUAGCAGCUAGGACCAUGACAAACAAAAUAGAGACAUUUGAAAAACCUUUUAAAAAAGAAAAAGAGAAAAAAACAAAAUCAGGCAUCCAAUUUUUGAUGUUCUUUUAUCCCUCAAGUCACCCGGUGACACAGAGUAUCAAUUAGGCUGUUGAAUCAGAUAGCCUUAGUUGUGCAAUGUAGUGAGUGGAUUGUAAAGGUCAGGUGUACAAGUUGCUCCUUGUCGAUUAUAAACUGGUCAUAUAAAAUUGUAUUUUCUUUUCCAAAUAAACGAUGUCCCACGAAGACAAGUUUUGUCUUGCCACCUUUUUGUUUUAUUACUUUCACUUCAUCUAUGACUCCUUUCUGGGUUGGCAUCGUUUUUUUCGAAACUCCUUAGCAUCUUUCUACGUGAAAUGAACAUGUCAAACUUUUGCUUCCUUCCCAGAAAUUUCCUCAGGAAGAAUUAAAAGUUGUAGAGAAGAUCCCAAAGUGGCUGCAGCAGUGGAAGUUUCCCAAAGUUCCGGAAACGGGACUCCAAUUUUUUUUUUUUUGUUUUUUUUUUUGUGUCUGUGUGUGUUUCACCUUCCAUUAGUUUUCUCGGGGCGAAGAAACUCAAAAGGAAAGUUCCCUUUCUGUCCUUUUUAUGUUUGUAUUGAAAUCUGAUAAACAAUCGAAUAAUAAAUAAGUUCAAGGACUUCCAGAUUUGCUUAAAAUUCCCUCUUAUUGCUUUUAAUUAAUUAGUCAAAAACGUGUAGUGCUGCGUUUGGCACCGAGGAGAAAUCAGAAAAGGUGGAAUUUACUCAGGUCAACAUCAGAGCGGUCAAAAAACUAUACGGUGCUGACUUGGGAUCAGAAUUACAUGUCGUGCCUGAUGGCCGACUCACCUAAGGCGAGUUGUUCAUCUGAGUCUGCUUGGACUUGGGAGAUGGGAUGACGGGCAACAGCUUAGCUUGAAUGCAUUUUGGUGGGGAUGGAAAGGGAACUGGAAACGAAUUGAUCACCAUCAUCAUUCAUCACUUUCAUUUAUCUAACUGCUAACCAUUUUUUCCUCAUUGAAGCAGUAAAUGCAGAUGGAGGUGGGACGUGGGAGGGUUGGCCGGUUGGGCUUAUCGGUCAGUCAGGUUCAUCAGUUCCCACCAAGUAGAAAACCUGUCAUUUUGUCAUUAAUAAUUUUGUACUGCUAUCGAUGUUUUAAGUAUGCUGCCUACUAAAAAUUUGGCCUAUCCCCCCUCCAUUCGUUUUCCUGGAUGGGAAUUCCUUUUUCUCCGGGUUUCCAUGAAUUUCAACCGUUCUUGAGUAUUGAAGACUCAACUCCAAACUACCAACUUCCCCUCCUCUUCUCUGUUUUCGGUUCUUGGAGUUGGGGAUUUGGCAAUUGUGUGUGUGUGUGUGAUUGGGCCUACUUCCACGAAAUCGUAUAAGUUGGGUGUUACAUGCUAUGGGCCAAGUCAAUCCACUUACGGUUAGGCUAGUUGGUUACUGUGUUUCAGGAGUGUGUGAGAAACACUCAGUUGGGUAAUCCCCCAACUCUCUCUCUCAAUUAAGUUAUCAAGAACAUAGGCUAUCAAUUGCAAUGGUUACUUGUCUGUACUUGAACAAAGAAUUCUUUUCUAAUUAUUUACAAAAAAAAAAAGAAGAAAGAAAGAAAAACAACAAGGUCUUUUGGCGAAAAUUGAAGUAGUAGCAUUUCAAACAAAAAUUUGCACCUUGUGAUGCAAUAAGUUGGAGACAUAUGUAGGAGACUAGAUCCCGAAAAUUUAUCUUUAGCUUGUGGGUAAAAAAAGAACUUGAAGUUAAGUUGAACUUGAAAGUGAAUUUUCCAAAUGUAAAAAAUUGUGGUGAAAGCCUCUCUCUCUCUUCCGGCAAUGAUAAUAUUUGUAUAACCUAAUAUAUUCUAUUCUGCAGGAAUGGGGAGUCUAAAGAGACUGUAUAAGGGGCUAAUAAAUAUACAAAUUUAACUAGCUCAAAUGAGUGUUCUGACACCUUUUUUGGAUUUUUUUCAUUGGAAGUAGUGUUCGAAUCCUUGAUACAAUCCAAAGAAGGAUUUGAUCCUUUUUUUUAUAGCUUUGGCUCGGUGGUUUGGUGAAAGCCUCUCAUUUGCUCUGGAAGGUGACAUUAGAUGAUAUGAUAUCAGAAGUGUAAGGUUGCGUUUGGUGCAAAUUUUCAAAGAAAAAUUGCGACGUUUUCGUGGACACAUUUUUUAAUUACCUUUUUACCUCAUAUAUAUCAAAUCGCUACGGUAUUUUUCCUACAAGAAGUCCAGAAAAAUGCAAUCCAAACUUAUCUUUUGAAUUUGUGGAGCACAAGAAAUGAUUAAAUAAGUUGGUGGAUUACGUGCUGCCGGAGUAGUUUGCUUCUGUAGUCUGUACCAACUAAACUAAACUGGCCAACCUCCACUCGAGUUGGCUGAAACUCAUUUAGACAACUAACUCAAACAGGAAGGAUCUUUAUUGGCCAAGUAGCAAGAAUACGCUCAAAAUCCACAUCUGUUUCUAAUAAACAAAAAAGUUUUAUACUAAAGAAAAACUAAGCCCCAGAGAAGAAAAGGUAAAAAUUCACAUAAAAGGACAAUUUAUGAAGACCUGGUCAAAAAAACCCAUUGACAGGCUUUCUUUUGGGGCACAACUUUCUUCUAUGAGAUGUUAGGCCCAAUGGAUCAAUUUGCAAUACCUCAAUAUUCAUGUCCUGCAUGUUAGGUUGGAGAUUUAUUGAAGCAAAAAGCUAGUUGAAUUAGUCGAAUCAAGAAUUUACACGCAAGAGCAAAAUGUCACUAACGCAUUAAGAUAAGGGUCUAAUGAGUGCCCGUUGGGUUAGAUUAAGAUGGAGUUCCGGUGUUUAUAUUUUGAAAAAGUAAUUUUAAUUAAAGAAAGUAUAUAAAUAUAAAAUAAUAAUUAUUAAUAUAUACAUUCACAUGACAGAUUAUACGAAAUUUAUAAGUAUAUUGAUCAGCCUCCAUUAAGCACUUGUUAGAGUUCGUUGGCAUCUGUUAAUAAAAUCUUAAAAUAAAUAGUUAAUGUACUUUUGGGUUUCGUGGGCCAUUUAUUACUAGUUGCAGUUUUGACUGCGUGUAGUCAAAGAAGCACCUAUGGUGAACAGAAAUAUAAUGGUCACCUAUUCUCAUAUAUUUAUAAUGGAAUGAAAAGGCUUUUUUCUUUGUGUUUUUUUUUUUGUUUGGGGGGGGGGGGGGAAAGGGUUAUGUCUGGGUCUACAAAAAUACAGGAUCACUUUUCUUUCUCUUUAAAGGUUAUUUUUAAUAUGUAGGUUAUUUUUAAUAACCUACAUAAACACUAAAAUGAAAGAAUAUCAUUAACAUAAACAUAGACAAAAAUGCUUUGAGAGGUAGGCGGUAUAUGUUAUUUGACGACGACAUUGCAGUUCACCAAACAACAAAUUGUUUUUGGUAAAUCUCUCUCUCUCUCUCGUCGACACAGUCAAGCUCUUUGUUGUUGUUGUUGUCUUUUUUUUUUUUUUUUUUUAAUUCCCCUCUGGCUCUGGAGCAGGGAUGGUGAAAAUUUUCUGUUUUACUUAAUUGUUCGGGUUAAAAGAACUUAUAUUUGUUCACAUAUUCCGCGCCUCUUCUUUCACCAUAUCUGGCACCUCAAAUAAUAUACAAAACAUCCAUUAUGGCCUUUUACAAAUUUAAAACGUAGAGAUGAACAAAAUUUUUUGACAUAUUGGAUUCGACUGUAAAACAAAAAAAAUUGUAAGUAAGAGAUCAUGAUUUCAAAAUCACCAACCUUUAGGCCGGUGGUCACCACCAAGUCCUUGGGAGGUCAAGGGUUCAAGAGUUCAACCCUUGCUUCCUAUCAAUUGCCACAAUAUGUGGUUUCUCUAAAAAAUUCAGAUAGAUAUGUAGUGCACCCGUCUGGUACGAUGGUGGUUUAAUCCCUAUCGACCUCCAGAGGUCCAGUUGGACAUUUUCCCUAAGUUAGAAUAGAAUAACAUUAUAUAGAUAAAGUGACGAUUGACCAAAAAAAAAAAAAAAGAGAUCAUGAUUUCAAAACUUCUCAUUUACCAAAAAAAUUAUUUAAAAAAAUAAAAGUUUUUAACAUGCCAUAUUACAAGACAAUUAGACAAAAUACUCCUCCCUAAUGAAGGCAGAGUGCUGGGCAUGCAUGGGUCUGUUAAACAAUUUUAAACUUUAAAAAAAGUACUACUAGGAUGAGCAAAAGGGCAACGAUCAAAGGACAAAGAGCAGCAGAGCUGGUAACUGGUAAGUAGCACCAAGACUAAACAAAGAACUCUUAUUGGGAACAAGUAAAACUCCACUUGGAGCAAUCAAAUUCAAUCAUUCAAAUUUUAAACAGGAAAGCCGGCGCCUCACUGCCGAUCCGAGAUGCUGACUUCAAACUUUUUUUGAAUAUGAACAGUCUCCCACACUCUACAUUCAAGUCCAAAACCAUUAUUAUCUAUGCCUGAUGAUCCCAAGAUUAAAACUGCAUUUUCUAACUUGGAAAUUCCGACAUCUCAAGUCUUACCAAAUGUGAUUCAGACCAAACACAUCCUUCUCACCACUCUUCCUUGAAUUUGUCAACCCCUACAUACAUCCCACCUCAUAUCUGCCACCAAGUGUCCAUUUUUCUACUAUCAUAAAUUUCUUCUUGUUACAUAUGCACUCUUCACUUUAUUUGAAGAUAGAUUAGGUGUUACUUUGGGUGCGUCAUGAAUUAGUUGAACACUAUUGUUAAUCCAAUAUAUUAUCUAUCAAGAGUCUAAUCCAAGCAAGAAUAUGUCUUCCAUUCUAGGCAGCAACGGUGGGAAUAUGGGGUCACCCUUUUUUAAUGAAUUCAAGAAACAGGCGUCUUUUUUCCUCAAGGAGAAGAUCAAGACUGCCAGAUUGGCCCUGACUGAUGUUACACCGGCUCAACUGUAAGCUUCCUACUUUUUGAUGCACUUUGUUGUACGAUCUGGGUCUGAUAUGUAACUAUUGAGAGGCAUAUUUGCCUUUUCAACUUUCAAGUACUUUGAGAGUUUUUUUGAUUCUUUUCCUCUUUAAAAGAUUGGUAGAGGAAGCUACAAAUGGAAAUCCAGGAGCUCCAGACACUUGUACUCUUAAAUUGAUAUCAAGGGCUGCUUUUGAAGUAGACGAUUAUUGGAGAAUUGUGGAGAUCCUGCAUAAGAGGUUUCUUGGAUUAUUUAGCCUGUGAUUCAUAAAAUAGUACUAGUAUUUUAUAUCAACUAUUGAUGGCUUGAUGUGUGCCUUACACUUGCUGUGAUUCUGUUUGUUCCAUAUUUCUGUGGUUCAGAUUAGUGAGUUUUGAUAGAAGAAAUUGGAGGGCUUCAUACCAAGCUUUAAUUGUGCUAGAACACUUGUUAACUCAUGGGCCUGAGAGGGUAUCGGAGGAGUUUCAGAACGACAGAGAUGUUGUUGAAGAAACUGGAAGCUUUCUGUAUGUUGAUGAGAAAGGGUACUAAGUUCAUUUUUUUCAAGUUAUUUUCCAAAAAAUUUUGUCUCUCUAUCUUAAUUUAAGGUAGAUUCUCACAAAUCCUGCGCUUACGAAACAGAUUCAACUGGGGCCUGAAUGUUAGAAAGAAAUCUGAGAGGAUAUUGAAGCUGCUUGAUGAUAGAUCAUUUCUGAAAGAAGAGAGAAACAAGGCUCGGACAGUAACUAAAGGAAUUGAAGGGUUUGGCAGCUUCUGCAAUAGGCGUUCUUCGGACCAAGAAGUUCCGCAGGAAUCAUCUCUGAAAUCAUUUGAGAAAUGCAAUUCUCAGUUUAAUGAACAUGGAAAUAAGGAAAAUGGCAUUUCGUUGUUUGAUGAUCAGUAUUUUACCAAUGGAAAGCUGGAAAAUUCAAAGCAGGCCAACAGCGAUAAUUCAAACUUGGCAUUGAAUACAAAACUAGAAAAUUCAACCGCCUGGAAAAAUUCUGAUAAUCAAAGGAUGCUUGAGAAGGAUAGUGCACGAACAAGUUUCAAAGAAAAUACGGCCCCAAAACAGAAAGUAUAUGCAGAGGACUUGGACGAUUGGGAUACAGCAGAAGAGUCAAAUGCUCUUUUGAGUAAUCAAGAAGCUGAUUCCAGGAUGAACAUCUCCAUGGAAGAUGAUCAUCCCUUUAACCUCAACCAGCUCCGACAUGCUGUCUCCCUGCUUCCUUCAAGAGAUCAAGUCCUGCGGGCAUUUUGAAGAUUGAAGUAAAGUUGAUGCAAGUAGCUUCUGUUAAAACCAUCCCUCGUGGUUUCUAAGGUUAUGUUUCUCUAUCAUGUAUAUUUUUAUGGAUGGGAACAAGCCAAUGCUUGUUCUUAGAGGAUCUGAUUUCUUCUUCCAGCCUGCUCUAUAGCAGUCAGUCAUUGUGAGAUUGUUUAUUAUCUAUGUUGGUCGUGCUUGGUUAGGCAGAAACGAACUAUGCCACCAACUAGUUCACUUUUCUGGUGUGAAUCCCGGCACACUAAUUGCUUGUUUUGUUUAUUUGCCUCGUAUUCCUUCUGAUAUUUGUCUUUUUUUUUUCCAUCUUUUUGAGCAAGUUGAGAGAAAAUCAGAGGAUAUCUAGCUUAACAUCGCAGAUAUGUACGUGUUCCUGGCGAGACUGAUUUUUUCAAUUGACUGUAUUCAGCUGUUUUAUACAAGAAAUGUGUAACAAUGAGAGGUUGCUCCCUAUCUAGUUGUCCCUGAUUGGCCUAACCUGAACAGAAUGUAUUCUGUCACACUCCGAACUAUGAAAGGGAAACAAAAAGGGAAACUGCUGCUAAUUACAUGAUUUAUGUACUCUACUCAAACAUCAAGCUAGAUCUAGAUAUACGCUUCUAUACAUGUACAAGAAUAUAAAUGUCACAUAAAUUUCAGAACCUUAAGAUUUGCAGAGCCACUCCUGAAUGGCAAGCCGCAGUGCAUGAUUAGGAGUAAGAGUCAAGUGACUUAAUUUCAAAUUGGUCAUGGGAGAUGUCUCACGGCCAUUUUCCAACCAGCCACGCAAGGCCUCUCCUUCAUAGGUGAAUCCAUCUGCUGCCACCUGGGGGUCAUGCAUUAUCUCCUGAAAGUUACCCAGUAAAACGUUACCUUACAUGCGCUAGUAGAAACUGAUGUAUUAGUCAUCAUAAAAUAAAUGAAACCGGUUCAUCAUCACACCUGUAGAGGUUACAGAAAUCAUAGUCUUCCAAGAAAACAAGGCUGUCAUUUUUAUUGUUUUAGUCAAGAGAGGUCUAGCACAUAACUAAAUUUCAAGCAGAAUGGCAUCUUGUUUCAACUUGCGAUUGCUAAUGGUCGAGAAUGAAGAGUAAGCUUAUGUUUCAGGAAAAUGAUAAUAGAAAACUGGACAGCUAUUGCCAUCUAGCUAUUGAAGAUUUUGACAUUACUGACCUGAAGAAUGGGGCACAAGAAGAAAGAGGGCACCAGUCUCUCCUCCAAGACAUGUAAAUGCUCCAGUUCCCUAACCAGAGUUGGCGUGAUGGAAGGCCUAUCCCUUCCAUUCAAUUCACAGCAUUGCAACCCCAACUCCACCAAUCUCCUUGCAACAAAUGUAGACCACUCCCCUGCAGAUGAAUCCAAGAUUGCUGUUAUUUUUCCACAGCAGACCAUUUUUCGUACUUCGCAGGCCAGUCCAGCUGGAGGUUUCCCAGUGAGUAACUGAAGUAUGAUCAGCCCGAAUGAGAAAACAUCAGAUUUAGGUGUCAGGAUUCCAGUCCUAUGAAAUUCUGGAUCUGUGUAGGGAAAAGCACCUCUUGUCUCAGUGAUGCGACGGAAACUUGGGCAGCGAAGGGUUUGUUCUGGUACUAAUCUGAAAAUUCCAAAGUCACCAACUUUGCAGCAGUUCUCAGAGUCUAGUAGGACAUUAUUAGGUUUCAAAUCGCCAUGAGUUAUUCCUUCAGGACCAGAAGAGUGCAAAAACAGAAGGCCACUAGCAAUUUCAGAAAUAAUCCGUACUCGGGUCUUCCAGUUUAAGGGACAAACAUUACUUCCGUGGAAGAGGCGAUCUUGGAGGCUGCCACCAGGUAAGUAGUCAAAAACAAGGGACCAGGCUUCAGGACAUACGCCAAUUAAUGUCACCAGAUGAGGAUGGUGCACUCUUCCAAGAAUUUGAGCCUGCAACAAGAAAAGCUUAUGUCAGUCAUCACUACAAUCACAAAGCUCAAACAAAACCUGAGCAUCAAUAGAGACAAAUCAAGCAUUUGAGAAUUUGAGUUAUGCAAGAAAAUUGGACUAAAAAGUUGUUACAAGUUGAAAACGAGUUUUACAAACAACUAAAAAAGCACAUGCCCAUAUAGAGUAAUCAACCUCUUGACAAAAUUCAGGUUGCUUUUGUGUAGAAUGCGGAUGCAGCAUCUUUAUGGCGACUGUUCUGUUCAACAUCUCCCCUUUGUACACUGCACCAUUUCCUCCCCGUCCAAUCUUAAAACUCUCUGAAAAAUUGCAUGUUGCGGCCUGCAAAUCCAACAGUGAAAAUUCUGCCAAUUCCAAUGAUUCUCCACUAAAUUGUACAAGACCAUUGAUAUUUUCACCAUUGACUUGUGAGCCACUUUUCCAGUGAUCAAGCCACUGCACAGCUUCAAUUUUCUGCUGCUGAAUUUUCCGCCUUUCCCGCUGUAAUCUUGCCAGUGAAGAUUGAAUAAGCUUCAGUUCUCCAGCAACAUCUUCACACCGGCAGUUUGCUUCCUGUGCACGACUAUCUAGAACGGCUAUAUUUCUCAUGGCCUUUUGGAACUCACGAGUUAAAACCUCUCUUUCUUCUAAGAGCUUCUCUUGCUCCUGUAUUGUAGUUCUAAGCUCUUCUUCAGCUUCUUUCCUAAUUUUGACUUCCCGUUCAUAAGCAGAUUCAAAAGCUUUGGCCUAUAUAACAGCAAAUUAGCCAUGAAUCUCACACAUGGACAUAAAAUACAUAAACAAUCAGUUUCAGUUAAAAGUGUGUACAAACUAUUUCAGACUAUGUGAAUCAAACAAGUGAAUUGAUAUUCAUUAAAUGAAAGGAUAGAGUUUGCACUUGCAACAAUUCAUAGAGACCCCAUAGCAACAUGGCUGUAUUUAUAGAGUAAUGCAAAUCCCGGAUGGAGGAUGGAAAAGUGAAUACUGCAAGUCCUAACUAAGUUGGAAAAGAAUUUUGCAAGAUAUUGACAUCUAUAGUAUCUAGAACUUGUAGCAAGAAGAAAAAUGCUAAAGCUGUACCAACACAAAUUGUACGGAAGACCAGUUAAAGCUGUACUAAGAUAAGUUGUUGAUGACCUGAAGUAGAACACGUUAAUAAGAAUAGACAGGUAAAUGCCUUCAUGACUGAAUCAUUAAAAUUCCAUUUUGUUAACAUCAGUUUUAAGUGCAUUGUGAAGCAUGAAAAAAAUGUUCACGCACUUAACUGGCCACUCUUAUGGUGCAUACUCAAGCUCAAAACAGAAAUAGCUUACAUUGCUGAUGGCUUCUACAGCUUCAGCUUCCAAUUUUUGACACAUCAAGAGCUCUGAAUCUGCUUCAUCCCUUGAUUCUUCAGCUUCUUUCUUAAGUUCUUUAAGCCAACCAUAUAAGCCCUCUUUCUCGACUUUUGAAUUAGAAUCUGAAGACACUCUUGAUACAGCAGAUGAAGCAUAUCCUGAGCUAGAGCUCAAAGUUGCAGGACUGAAGAAUUGAAAAGUGCUUGGAUAGCAUCUAGUUGGCAGAGUAAGAGAAGAUGGUUCCACCUUAGCUCCUUCCUUCUGAAAACAAUUUCUUGUUCCUGAACAAGCUGGAUAUUGAGCAGAUCUAGAUCGAAUACAUUCUGGGUGAUAAUUAUCAUUGCUCUUAGAAGAGGGUGCAGAUUGAGAUCUUAAGUUCGAUGCUGCUGCAAGUUCUUGUUGACUGAUUAAUGCAAAAGAACUUGAGCUUUGAGAAUCUUGUCUCGUCCAGACC
rnacentral:lncRNA from 1 species